UGCAUGGCGCAGCUACAUCUGCCCCCCUUCCCUGGAAACGGGGUCUAAUACCGGAUAAAGACCCUCGCAGGCAUCUGCGAGGUUCGAAAGCUCCGGCGGUGCAGGAUGAGCCCGCGGCCUAUCAGCUUGUUGGUGAGGUAAUGGCUCACCAAGGCGACGACGGGUAGCCGGCCUGAAAGGGCGACCGGCCACACUGGGACUGAGACACGGCCCAGACUCCUACGGGAGGCAGCAGUGGGGAAUAUUGCACAAUGGGCGAAAGCCUGAUGCAGCGACGCCGCGUGAGGGAUGACGGCCUUCGGGUUGUAAACCUCUUUCAGCAGGGAAGAAGCGAAAGUGACGGUACCUGCAGAAGAAGCGCCGGCUAACUACGUGCCAGCAGCCGCGGUAAUACGUAGGGCGCAAGCGUUGUCCGGAAUUAUUGGGCGUAAAGAGCUCGUAGGCGGCUUGUCACGUCGGUUGUGAAAGCCCGGGGCUUAACCCCGGGUCUGCAGUCGAUACGGGCAGGCUAGAGUUCGGUAGGGGAGAUCGGAAUUCCUGGUGUAGCGGUGAAAUGCGCAGAUAU
rnacentral:rRNA from 1 species